UUAGGUUGUCCUCGAGAAGAAGGAUAUUUACUAAUAAUCAUUGGAGUUAUUUUGGGUAUUGUUGCUAUUGGUGCCGCUUUACUUCUCAUUUGGAAGUUACUUGCAACCAUACAGGAUCGUCGCGAAUUUGCCAAGUUUGAACGUGAACAACAAAAUGCCCGCUACAAUACAAGUGAAAAUCCUAUAUACAAAACUGCCACAACAACGUUCCAAAACCCAACUUAUGGUGGCAAAGGUUGAAUCAAGAUGAUUUUAUAGUUUGGUCUUAUUCGAUAUUUUAAAACAAACAUCAGACACGUUUAUUUUGAUAUAAAUACUAUAUAUAAUUACUGUUCGAGUAUAUUUUUAGUGUUUGAUGACAAGCAUAUUGUAAUUUUUAUGCUCUUAUAAAGUAGAUCAGAUUUGUCGACUUGUCA